UGGAUCAAUGAUGAGUAUUCUGGGGUGUCUGAAUUAAGGAUUCUGAUUAAACUCAAUGGCUCUGAGGUCGUU
ensembl:snoRNA